rnacentral:lncRNA from 12 species
AUGUUUCAGGACAAGAACUCAUCACAAAGUGAUGUUAUUUCGGAAAAUGCUAUAAAAACACAUCAAAAGGAGAUAAAUGGAUUGCACACAGACCUGGGAAAUCUGGGAUCGCGUGCAAAAACAGAUUCACCCCAUCCAGUGGACUCUUUCUCUACGGGAUUAUGUCAUCUCCUGUGGCAGAGCAUUUUGGUUCUAGAAACAUGUUUGCUCAGAGGAAACACUGCCGACAAAGAAGGAGAAGGACUCAAACUCCAAUGUUGGAUCGGUAAAGGAUUGCUUGAGCUUUGGAAGCAGCAGGUCUGGAAUGCGGAAAGGAACAGCGCUAGCUUUAAAAAUACAUUUUUUUGUCUUGAGAUCAAGUGAAAAGAGAACAUAACAGGAAGGAUGCCAUCGGUGGGACAAACAGUGUGAGCCCACAUGUUGUAGAGGAGGAAUGAGACCAAUCUGGGAACAGUGCAAGUUUGGAAAGAAACAUCUGACUCUACCUGAAGAAAUAUGGGUUGAGGGAAAUGGAAACAGAACAUAAGAGUCAAAAAUUAGGUUGUAUUGCCACAGAAAAAGUGGUAGAGAAAGCAGUAUUUCUGCUGGCCUGAAAGAAAGCUAGAAAACACAUCAGAGGAGACACGUUGCUAUUUUCUGCACCUCUAAAAGCUUGAGAAACGUCACCCAUGGUAACUCCAGCUCAGUUACACACUGAUGGAGGAUUCUCUUGUUGGUACAAAUAUGGAGGCAGAAGGGAAUCUAACCCAGGCUAUAGGGAUGUUAAGACUCAAAACCCCCUAGUCUAAACUAGUCAUGUCUUUGGCAUAGAUGACAUCAUGGCUUCAACCAACCAACUGACCGACCAACCAACCAAACACAUGGCAUCUGGUGGGGGGAAAAGAAAUAGAGAUGAGCAAGAAAUUGAGACAAUGGGGAAUAUAAGCCCAGGAACACUAGUGCUUAGAGAUGUCUCUUGUAAAUGCACAAGCACCAGGAUAAGAGAGCAGAAGCUGCACUCUUAGAUUGGGUUCAAACUUAGUUCAGUAUUUGAGUACUAGGUAUAUGGAAACAAGUGUGAAAACAAAUUAAGGAAUUUUUAAAAUGCAGAAUGAACACCAGUGAUAAAGAAAGGAGAGAGCUCUGGGAAUUGGGGAGACUCUCAAUGCAAAUAUCUAAAUCAUGCAAGAAGAGGGACAGUUUACAAGAGUGGUGGAUUUUUCAAUAAAAUUUGGAGUUAGUAUCA